UAGGGAAUCUUCGGCAAUGGGGGGAACCCUGACCGAGCAACGCCGCGUGAGUGAAGAAGGUUUUCGGAUCGUAAAGCUCUGUUGUUAAGGAAGAACGAGUGUGAGAAUGGAAAGUUCAUGCUGUGACGGUACUUAACCAGAAAGGGACGGCUAACUACGUGCCAGCAGCCGCGGUAAUACGUAGGUCCCGAGCGUUGUCCGGAUUUAUUGGGCGUAAAGCGAGCGCAGGCGGUUAGAAAAGUCUGAAGUGAAAGGCAGUGGCUCAACCAUUGUAGGCUUUGGAAACUGUUUAACUUGAGUGCAGAAGGGGAGAGUGGAAUUCCAUGUGUAGCGGUAAAAUGCGUAGAUAUAUGGGGGAACACCGGUGGCGAAAGCGGCUCUCUGGUCUGUAACUGACGCAGAGGCUCGAAAGCGUGGGGAGCGAACAGG
rnacentral:rRNA from 1 species